GCUCAUGUAGCUCAGGGGUAGAGCACUCCCUUGGUAAGGGAGAGGUCGACGGUUCAAUUCCGUCCAUGAGCACCA
rnacentral:tRNA from 3 species